CGGGGGGUGGGGGCCCUAUACAUGAAGUCGAGCGAACAGACGAGGAGCUUGCUCCUUUGACGUUAGCGGCGGACGGGUGAGUAACACGUAGGUAACCUACCUAUAAGACUGGGAUAACUUCGGGAAACCGGAGCUAAUACCGGAUAAUAUUUCGAACCGCAUGGUUCGAUAGUGAAAGAUGGCUUUGCUAUCACUUAUAGAUGGACCUGCGCCGUAUUAGCUAGUUGGUAAGGUA
rnacentral:rRNA from 1 species